rnacentral:lncRNA from 1 species
CCUGGUUCUGAUACUUAUCAGGUCAUAUAUAACCUUGGGCAACACAGAGAGAGAGGACACAAGCAGGAGGAGCAGCAGGCAGAGGGAGAAGCAGGCUUCUCGCUGAGCAGGGAGCCCAACACGGAACUCCAUUCCUGGACCCUGACAUCAUGACCUGAACCAAAGGCAG